UAUUUAGGUAAUAUACUCUUGACUAUUUCUGCUAUAUGCAUAUUAGGAAAGACAUCUACCUAGAGAUGUAGAUCAUAGUCAAGAUGACUCAUAGAUGUUUAAGACUGGAAAUAGUCAUAGAAAUUAUUAAUCAACACUUGUCACUAUUAGAAACAUAAGUAGAUAACUCUACUGUGUACAUUGGAUUCUUAGUUUCUAACUCAGCUAUAAAACCUCAUCAUCACAGUAUCUCUUUAACAACUUGUUGCUGAGUCAGCUAAUGCAAAUUAAUUAGCUUUUCAUUUCUAUAAAAAAUUACUUAGUUGUUCUUUCCUAUAGGUCACUUUUCCAAGAACCGAGGAACGAUAACAGGUGAAUGAAUGAUUUGAAAGAAUAGCUCGGUCAAGUGAAUAUUUUCUCUGCAUAGACCAUUUAAGAUAAGUUUAUUAAAGCAUCUUUAUUUUUAGAUUUGCAUCUAGAAAAUUAAAUAUAAUCCCACAUUAUAAUAACAUCACAAUAUUUAAACACAUAAAAUCUCACAAUAUUUAGAUUAUGCUUUACUUGUCUUUAUAUUUUUAUGUAAAACACUCAAAUAUUUGUGAACUUUAAAUUUGAUGGCCAUAUAGUAGUCAGUUAACAGUGAAUUCUCAUUCAAAGCUAUUUUAACAUACUUUAAUUCUUAGAUAUUUCUAUAAGAAGUUAUGUGGGAAGUAACUUUUUCUGCUGAAAGAAAUGUAUACUACAUGAUAAAUUUGUAAAUUUUUCAUAAAAUUUAUUGAUGAAUAAAAUUUUAUGCUCUCUGCAAUAUCACAACACAUAAUAUUCACACAGUGGCCAUUUUACUGAGGAAUUAAUACCUGUAUGUUUUCCAGGUCUUUUAAUUUAAUGGCAAACUAUGCUUAGGAAUUUAUCUUUUUAUAAAAUGUAUUUUCUGUUUGAAAUCACACAAUUGUUCUAUUAAUUUGAUUUCUGUAUUUUAAAAGUACAUAAAGUUUUAUAUACCUUAAAAUUUUAUUACUUAUUAUUUAUUAAAGUUAUUAAUAUAAACAUAUUGUUUUAUCCUAUUAAGAAAUAUUAUGGUCUUACAUUAUAUAAUAAAAUAGUAUCCAUAAAUAUCAUGUAGAUAAUAUUAAUAUGACAGAUGAUGAAAAUUAUAUAAACACUGUACUUCAAACACGAUGUAUUUUUAGAGUGAAUUAUGUUAAUUUCUCUUGCAGAACUGAAACUUUUAAAAUACAUUUUAAAAAUCUCUCUUUCGGUUAAACUUUUCUUUUCUUCUAGCUUAUUGAUUUUGAAAUGAUGGUCCAGGCACAGGCGCAGGAAGUUGUGCAAGAAGUCACCAGGGAUAGCUAAAAAUACUUAUUCCUUCAUCCCAUCAAUAAAAUCUUUAGUGGUUGAAAUUUGGGAAUCAGUAUUUUUAAUAAGUUCCCCAGGUAAUUGUGAUCACUUCUAACAGGAUUCAGAACCAAUGACCUGGAUUACUUGACUGCAUGUCUCUUAUGGUUUAUAUGUUUUACGCCCCUCCAUCUUCCAUCCCACACAGCCAAAUAAAGCCCAUCACAUUAGGGCUUGAACUAAUGCCAUUCUUAUGCUAUGCCCCAUGGGAUCCAAUUUUAAUCCUGCUCUUUUAACAUUGACUACCUCAGGGUUUUACAGAUGUGUUCCCCUUACACAUUGUCUAAAGAUACUCUAUAUAGGACAGGACUAAACACCUGAGAAGUAAGCUGCUUUAUUUCAAUUAGAAAUUGCUAAAAUCUUUACACAUUUGUGGUUUUCACAGAAAGACGGUGUUUGUUCUUUAAUUACAAUCCUAAACAAUGUUGUUUAUAAUUGUGCAGAUUAUCUCUAAAAGCUCCACCAACUCCACUCUUUGAUGCAAUGUAGAAGCUUUACUAGAGAAAAAGCAAGGUCAGAGUGGUGGUGUAAAAGUGAAUGGGCCCUACAGGCUUAUAUAUGUGAAUGCUUGCUGUCCGGGGAGUGGAUCUGAUUGAAAGGUUUAAAGGAAUUUGGAGAUGUGGCUCAACUGAAGGAAGUGAGUGGGUCGCUGGGGAUGGGCUUGGAGCUUUGAAAAGCUUAAGCCAUGCCUAGUCUCUCUUUGUUUCUGUUGGUAUAUCUUUGUGUCUUUGUCCCUCUAUGUUUGUCUCUGACAUUUUGUUCAUCUUCGUGUCUGUCUCUCUGUUUCUUUCUCUGUCUCUGUCUCUCUGUCUGUAUCUCUCUCAAUCUCUGUCUCUUUCCCUUUGUCUCUCUGUCUCUCUGCCUCUCUCUCUCUGUGAGAGAGAGUGUAUCUCUGUGUGUGUGUCUCUGUCUCUGUCUCUGUCUCUGUCUCUGUCUCUGUCUCUCUCUGUCUCUCUGUCUUUCUCUUACUCUCUCCUUAGCAGCUACUGCUCCAGUGGCAUGCAUGUUGCCAUGCUCUCUGUCAUGAUCAUAAUGGACUAAGCCUUUGAAAGUGUAAGCAAACCUCCACUUAAAUACUAAAAGUUGCCUGGUUAUGGUGUCUUUUUGCCAUAAUAGAGCACCUAGUAAGAUAUUCCUAUAGAGGAGAUUGUUGGAAGUGAAAGAAAUUAUUACAUUGGAUAGGAUGUCAGUCAUGGUAACACACAAUUUGGGAAUAAAAGAAAAAUGCCCAUGAGAUUUCUUUUGGUGUUUUUUUCCCCCCUUUCGGUUGGUUUUGUUACAUGGGAUAGAACUCAGAGAUCUACUACUGAAUUUUAUCUUUAUAAUAUUUACAUUUUAUUUUGAUCCCAAAUAUCAUUAAGAGAGGACUGGUUUCCUUUAGGUAAUGGUUUCAGAGGGAAUUUACUACAUCCUAUUGGGUUUUGGAGAGGCAUGAUGGCAUUGGCAACACUGGGAAGGUAUGACGAACCUCCCACAUCUUGUACAUACUUACUGCUGCUAACAGCAGGGAUUUUAAAUGUAUUUUAACAGCUAGACAGGGUGAGUUACUUUCACCUAUAAGCCUUUCAUUACACAAUGAUUCCCAACCUUAAACAACCACAACAGUAUAGGAACUGAGUGUUCAAAUCACAAGCCUGGGGAGGACAUGAGAUUAAAAGAAUACUCUUCACCAAGCAAACGCCUCUUCCCUAGCACAAUUCCAGUACUUUUCCCAGAGAAAUCUAAAUUUUCAGGAAGUAAGUCUUAUCCACACUGCAGAAGACACAUCUAUGGAACAGUAUGCAGAAAUUCCUGGUACUCUGCUUGUCUUAUUUCAAUAUUCCUGGUAAUUGCCAGUAAGAUGUUCUCCUGUUCCUCUGUUGACACAUCUUUGUACCAGGGACAUUAUAUCAUGGAUUAGAAAAAGUAACACACAUUAAUGGAAGUCAUUAAUUUAAAAUUUAAUUGAAAAACUCUAAUAGUGAUCACUAAAUUAUGCAUGUAUGUGGUAUUAUUUGUUAGUAUCUUAAAUAGAAUACCGAAUAUAAUCAUCUCCUUGGUUCCAUGAAUUUGUUAAUAUUGUCUCUUAACGUUAGAGCAGGGAAAGUGCUUGCUGACAGGAGCCUGAUAUAGCUGUCUCCUGAGGGGCUCUGCCAGUGUCUGACAAAUACAGAAGAGGAUGCUCACAGCCAUCCAUUGGAUGGAGCACAGGGUCCCCAAUGAAGGAGCUAGAGAAAGGACCUAAGGAGCUGAAGGGGUUUGCAACCCCAUAGGAGGAACAACAAUAUGAACUAACCAGUAUCUCUAGAGCUUCGUGGGACUAAACCACCAACCAAAGAAAACACCUGGUGGGACUCAUGGCUCUAGCUGCAUAUGUAGCAGAGGAUGGCCUAGUCGGUCAUCAAUGGGAGGAGAGGCCUUUGGUCCUGUGAAGGCUCUAUGCCCCAGUGUAGGGGAAUGCCAGGACCAGGAGGCAGCAGUAGAUGGGUUGGGGAACAGAGGAAGGGUGAAGGGAUAGGCGGUUUUUGGAGGGGAAACUUGGAAAAGGGACAUAAUAAAAUAAAGGAAAUGUCU
rnacentral:lncRNA from 1 species